GACAGAGGAUGCAAGCGUUAUCCGGAAUGAUUGGGCGUAAAGCGUCUGUAGGUGGCUUUUCAAGUCCGCCGUCAAAUCCCAGGGCUCAACCCUGGACAGGCGGUGGAAACUACCAAGCUGGAGUACGGUAGGGGCAGAGGGAAUUUCCGGUGGAGGCGGUGAAAUGCAUUGAGAUCGGAAAGAACACCAACGGCGAAAGCACUCGUAGCUGGCCGACACUGACACUGAGAGACGAA
rnacentral:rRNA from 1 species